CCAGUGGCUGCAGGCAGAGCCCAGGUGCAGCAGGAGCCAUCAGCAGAGACCACGGAGGGCACCACCAUCAGCAUCAACUGCUCUCACCCCAACAAAAAGACCACGGAUUUCAUCUGCUGGUACCGUCGGCUCCCGGGCCGAGGACCCACAUUCCUCGUGAGCAGUUUCAAAGACGCCAAAGAUCUGCGGUCCCCGCCGGGGCAGCUGCGGGUGGCGGCAGACGGCCGGUCCAGCGCCCUGCGGCUCGACCGGCCCCGGCGCGGGGACGCGGCGGUGUAUUACUGCGCCCUGGGAGACACGGGGAGAGGAGCCGGGGCUGCGGCCGGGCAGGAACCGCGGCGGGCGGGGCCGGGCGUGUGUGUCGGGGCCGGGGGGACAGCCCCGGGCGUUCUGGCCCUGCACGGCUCCAGCAGCCAGACAGGGACUUUCAGGCUGGCUGAGUACAGGAUGA